CCCUUAGAUGUUCUGGGCAGCACGCGCGCUACAAUGGUCUUCGCAAACGGAUGCAUUCGCGAAGGAGAAUGCCAAUCUUGGAAUCUAUGCCUUGGUCGGGACAGUUGCUUGCAAUUUUUCGACUCGAACCAGGAAUUCCUUGUAAUCGUGAUUCAUCACAUCACGAUGAAUACGUCCCUGCCCUUUGUACACACCGCCCGUCGCUCCUACCGAUCGAAGAGUUAGGUGAAUUGUUUUGAUCGAUAAGAUUUGACUAUGGUCAACUCUCGUUGUGAAAUUCUGUGAAUCUGACUGUUUAGAGGAAGGAAAAGUCGUAACA
rnacentral:rRNA from 1 species